rnacentral:misc_RNA from 1 species
ACCUGAAGAAGCGAACUAGGGCUUCAAUUGAGGGAGUAGAAGUAAGGAGUAGUUCAACAAAAAUCCGGCGUGGAAGAAGAAACUUCAGAUGAAAACAGAAUCCGCUUCCAUAGAAAUGAGAAAUUGAGAAAGUGGAGAAGAAAGAUCGGGAAUGGAGUGGAGAGAAAUCCGCGGAAAUUGGCGGGAGAAGGUGUUUGGCAGGAAUUUCUUCGACCCG